UCGAUAUGUGGCUGUUUGUCACGAGGAGACGAUAAUCUUUGUUUGAGCAAAGGCUACAUGCUGCAAGGAAAAACACAGGGGAAAAAUACAGGCGAAUUCGGGAAGUUUUAAGGAGCUGGGAUGAGAUAGACAACCGCGUGAGUCAAGACAAGGCAAGACAAACACGACGGCGCAAGAGGAUAAUAAAUCUGUUGCAAAAUCAGCGCGGCAGACCAACCAUUUGGACUUUCAGCCGCUCAAAUGACUGGUGGGAUGUGAUCGUUCCAGGAUUCACACACAUACAGUGGGUGCACAACUUCAGGAUGUCUGAAGAAACAUUUAUAUUCCUUUGUGCCAUGGUGCUUCCAGCAAUGGAAAAGCAGGACACAAACUACAGAAUAUGUGUUCCCGUAAAGAAAAGAGUUGCCAUUGCACUAUGGAAGCUUGCAACCAACGGCGACUACAGAAAUAUUUCCCAUCUUUUUGUGUCGGUGCGUCCAGGAAUUCUGCAAGGCCGCUAGCAAUUUGUUAGUUCCAGAACAGAUACGUUUUCCUGACCAGCAGCAGUUUAAAGAGAUGGCAGCCUACUUUGAGGACCGGUAGGGGCUUCCGCAGUGUGUUGGUCACACAUACCCAUAGUAGCCCCAAAGGAAUACCACUUCCAUUCCAUUCCAUCAUCCUGCAAGAAGUAGUUGACGGAAAAGGACUAUUUUGGAGUGCAUUUGCUGGAAUGGCUGGAAGUUUGCAUGAUGCACGGGUUCUGAGACUCUCUACAUUGUGUGAGUUAGUCGAGUGUGGAAGCCUCUACCCGGCUUACACAAGAAACAUCAGUGGGGUAAAUGCUGGCUUUUAUGUGCUAGGAGACUCUGCCUACCAUUUGCAGAAUUGGCUCCUAAAACCAUUCCCUGACAAUGGCCGGCUGACAGCAGAACAACUGACCUACAACAAAAAAGUGUGCAGGGCUCGGGUGGUGGUGGAAAAUGCUUUUGGGAGACUCAAAGGAAGGUGGCGGUGCCUUAUGAAGAGGAAUGACAGCGACAUCAAAUUGGUGAAGUCCAUGGUGUUGACUUGUUGUGCUCUGCACAAUCAUUGUGAACGGCAUGGAGAGGAUUACCAGCACGAAUUGGAUACACCUAUUGCGGCGGAGCCUGUGGUUCCACAGGCACAGGGCGCAGAGGAGGAGGGCAGGGAUGUACGCGAGGGUCUAAUGCGUUAUUUGAAUAGUUAAAUCUGUUGUACACCUGUAUAAAUGUUUAGUUUUGAUUUUAUUGAAAAUGAAUAAAUGCUUUUUACUUUUA